rnacentral:rRNA from 1 species
UUCCAGCUCCAAUAGCGUAUAUUAAUGUUGUUGCAGUUAAAAAAGCUCGUAGUUGGAUUUCUGUUUGGAUUUGGGUGUGAGACUUAUGUCAAGCGCUCAGACCAAGCAUUCUUCUACUCCCAGUGGUAACACUGGUGCGGUAGAGCCUUUACUUUGAGAAAAUUAGAGUGUUUCAAGCAAGCCUUUGCUUUGAAUACUACAGCAUGGAAUAAUACAAUAGGACUUCGGGCCUAUUUGUUGGUUUCUGGCCUGAAGUAAUGAUUAAUAGGGACAGUUGGGGGCAUUCGUAUUCGACAGUCAGCGGUGAAAUGCUUUGAUUUGUUGAAGACGAACUACUGCGAAAGCAUUUGCCAAAGAUGUUUUCAUCA